GAUGAACGCUGGCGGCGUGUCUAACACAUGCAAGUCGAGCGAAGCGGGGACGGGUGAGUAACACGUGGAUAACCUCCUAUAAGACUGGGCUAACUUCGGGAAACCGGAGCUAACCCGGCAACUUAUAGAUGGAUCUGCGCUGCAUCAGCUAGUUGGUAAGGUAACGGCUUACCAAGGCAACGAUGCAUAGCCGACCUGAGAGGGUGAUCGGCCACACUGGAACUGAGACACGGUCCAUACGCCGAAGGGAGGCAGAAGUGGGGAAUCUUCCGCAAUGGGCGAAAGCCUGACGGAGCAACGCCGCGUGAGUGAUGAAGGUCUUCGGAUCGUAAAACUCUGUUAUUAAGGAAGCGGUACCUAAUCAGGAAGCCGCGGCUAACUACGUGCCAGCAGCCGCGGUAAUUC
rnacentral:rRNA from 1 species